rnacentral:rRNA from 1 species
AUGGCCAUUGUAAGAGCUGACCACCCUUAUUUGCAGGAGCAAUACUAUGUUGUCAGCUUUGUCAAUGGAUUAAAGCCCAGCAUAAGAUGCAACUUAAGGCCACAGAGACCUAAAACUCUUAGCCAGGCUUACUGGUUAGCAAGGGACUAUGAGAGUGGACUGCAAGCAAAGUACCAAUCUUACAUGAACCAGCAAGAACGACUGCAGGCUCAUUCGAGCCAGCAAAAGCACACUAUUCCACCAGCUCCAAAUUUACAGGUACCACUUGCAGCUCCAGCCACCAAAAAGCCAGGUAUAUGUUGGAGAUGCAAUGGACCGUGGGUGCCAGGCCAUAAGUGCAAACAAGCACCUUCAGUACACGCUAUAGUUGGUCCUGAAAGUGCUGAAGAUGUUACACCUGAAGAGGAGGCCCAACUUGCAGUACUGACAGUUGAAGGCCAAUGGACUGAAUCUGAUAAUCAGUGCAUGCACAUUUCUGCACAAGCAAUAUCAGGAAAUGCUUCCCUUCUACUCUAG